CUUUUUAAUGUUUGGUUUUGUGGAAAAUUACUGUAUUAAGGCAGGAAGAAUAGACAAAAUUGCUUUCUAAGGACAUUGCAGAGCCUCAGAUUCAAUCAGUCACUCAUCACCAUUUGUGGAGUGUGUGCUUCAGCACCCAAUGCUGUGUGCCAGCCCCUGUGCCAGCACAGGACCUAUAGGAAGAAAUGAACCCACUCUGGGCCCUCGAGAAAUUAAUGAACUUAGGUGAGAGCUGGACAACUGAACGAAAUAACCAAAGGGCAACACAUCAUGCUCCAACUCCAGAUACAGGAGCUGCUGGAGCAACUCUGCUUCCUGCAUCAGGGAAAGCUUUGUAAAGGAAACAUGGUUUGAACUGGGUCUUGAAGGAGAAACUCAUCAGGCAGAAUUUCAGAUUGGAUUUUGGAAGUUUGGACUUAAAUAGCUUUAAGAUAAUUUGGCAACCUUGUCCCUGGAAAUCUGGCACCACUGGGGCUCCUGUCUCUCAGAAUUAAAAAAAAAAAAAAAUCCAGUCUCUGCACAAGCCUCCCAGUGAGCUGCCACCCAAUAGGAGAGACAGAUCAAAGCUGCCUUUUCUUAGCAACUGAAGCCUUGCCCAGCCACCGUAGAAGAGAUCUCUGCCAAACUCCCUCCUCUUUGAAGAAACACAACAGAGUCCAAGUGAGAAGUAGCUACAGUUUAAUACAAACCUGCACCAGAACACAACGUGUCGGGCUGUUUAGUUUUUGCCUCAAACGGUGGCCAAAGCA
rnacentral:lncRNA from 10 species